UACGGGGGGGGCAAGCGUUGUUCGGAAUUACUGGGCGUAAAGGGCCAGUAGGCGGCCAACUAAGUCGGAUGUGAAAUCCCCAGGCUCAACUUGGGAACUGCAUCCGAUACUGGAUGGCUUGAAUUCGGGAGAGGGAUGCAGAAUUCCAGGUGUAGCGGUGAAAUGCGUAGAUAUCUGGAGGAAUACCGGUGGCGAAGGCGGCAUCCUGGACCGACAUUGACGCUGAACGGCGAAAGCUAGGGGAGCAAACGGG
rnacentral:rRNA from 3 species